rnacentral:rRNA from 1 species
AUUGAACGCUGGCGGCAUGCCUUACACAUGCAAGUCGAACGGCAGCACGGGGCAACCUGGUGGCGAGUGGCGAACGGGUGAGUAAUGCAUCGGAACGUACCUUUCAGUGGGGGAUAACGUAGCGAAAGUUACGCUAAUACCGCAUAUUCUGUGAGCAGGAAAGCAGGGGAUCGCAAGACCUUGCGCUGAUUGAGCGGCCGAUGUCAGAUUAGCUAGUUGGUGAGGUAAAGGCUCACCAAGGCGACGAUCUGUAGCGGGUCUGAGAGGAUGAUCCGCAACCCUGGAACGGAGCCACGGUUCAGACUCCUACGGGAGGCAGCAGUGGGGAAUUUUGGCCAAUGGGGGCAACCCUGAUCCAGCCAUGCCGGGUGGGUGAAGAAGGCCUUCGGGUUGUAAAGCUCUUUCGGCCGGGAAGAAAUCGCACGGGCUAAUACCCUGUGUGGAUGACGGUACCGGAAUAAGAAGCACCGGCUAACUACGUGCCGGCCGCCGCCGUAAGAC